rnacentral:lncRNA from 1 species
CCAGUGGAGCAGAACACAGUUGAUGGUGUGCUUUGCCCUUUUUGUGUUUAUUUGUUUCACAGGCUACACUUUGGAGAACAAACCGCCCUGACUGAUUUAAAGUUGAAAGAUAUGCUACAUAGCAUUCUUCCAUCAUACCGGGAGAGAUGGAGUCAGUAGGAGCUGUGUCUUUUGUAUAACUGGUUGUAAGGAUGUUUUGAGUCAAAGAUGAGGCCCUGGAACUUGAGAUCAUUUC